rnacentral:misc_RNA from 1 species
GUGAAUCAUCGAAUCUUUGAACGCACAUUGCGCCCCUGGGCAUUCCUAGGGGCAUGCCUGUUCGAGCGUCAUUGUAAAAAUCUCAAGCUCAGCUUGGUGUUGGGUGUUUGCCCCUCCCCGCUACAAGGGGGUUCAGGGCACGCCUGAAAAUCAGUGACGGUGCCACGAUGGCCUCAAGCGUAGUAGACUCUCUCUCGCUUUGGAUGGUUCAUUGUGCGGUUCACCGGUCUAACAUAAAAUCUUAAAGGUUUUGACCUCGGAUCAGGUAGGGAUACCCGCUGAACUUAAGCAUAUCAAUAAGCGGAGGA